rnacentral:rRNA from 1 species
UACGUAGGGGGCAAGCGUUGUCCGGAAUCAUUGGGCGUAAAGAGCGUGUAGGCGGCCAGAAAAGUCCGCUGUGAAAACUCGAGGCUCAACUUCGAGCUGUCGGUGGAAACUUUCUGGCUAGAGUCCGGAAGAGGAGAAUGGAAUUCCUGGUGUAGCGGUGAAAUGCGCAGAUAUCAGGAAGAACACCAACGGCGAAGGCAGCUCGCUGGGACGGUACUGACGCUGAGACGCGAAAGCCAGGGGAGCAAACGGG